rnacentral:rRNA from 1 species
UAGGGAAUCUUCCACAAUGGACGAAAGUCUGAUGGAGCAACGCCGCGUGAGUGAUGAAGGGUUUCGGCUCGUAAAACUCUGUUGUUGGAGAAGAACGGGUGUCAGAGUAACUGUUGACAUCGUGACGGUAUCCAACCAGAAAGCCACGGCUAACUACGUGCCAGCAGCCGCGGUAAUACGUAGGUGGCAAGCGUUGUCCGGAUUUAUUGGGCGUAAAGCGAGCGCAGGCGGUUUUUUAGGUCUGAUGU